GAAAUGCGAUAAGUAAUGUGAAUUGCAGAAUUCAGUGAAUCAUCGAAUCUUUGAACGCACCUUGCGCUCCUUGGUAUUCCUUGGAGCAUGCCUGUUUGAGUAUCAUGAAAUCUUCAAAGUAAAUCUUUUGUUAACUCAAUUGGUUUCUACUUUGGUAUUGGAGGUCUUUGCAGCUUCACACCUGCUCCUCUUUGUUCAUUAGCUGGAUCUCAGUGUUAUGCUUGGUUCCACUCGGCGUGAUAAGUUAUCUAUCGCUGAGGACACUGUAAAAGGUGGUCAAGGUAAAUGCAGAUGAACCGCUUCUAAUAGUCCAUUGACUUGGACAAUACUUUUAUGAUCUGAUCUCACAUCAGGUAGGACUACCCGCUGAACUUAAGC
rnacentral:misc_RNA from 1 species